CCUACGGGUGGCUGCAGUGGGGAAUAUUGGACAAUGGGCGAAAGCCUGAUCCAGCCAUGCCGCGUGUGUGAAGAAGGCCUUCGGGUUGUAAAGCACUUUCAGUGGGGAAGAAAGCCUUGGGGCUAAUACCCCCGAGGAAGGACAUCACCCACAGAAGAAGCACCGGCUAACUCCGUGCCAGCAGCCGCGGUAAUACGGAGGGUGCGAGCGUUAAUCGGAAUUACUGGGCGUAAAGCGCGCGUAGGCGGUCUGAUAAGCCGGUUGUGAAAGCCCCGGGCUCAACCUGGGAACGGCAUCCGGAACUGUCAGGCUAGAGUGCAGGAGAGGAAGGUAGAAUUCCCGGUGUAGCGGUGAAAUGCGUAGAGAUCGGGAGGAAUACCAGUGGCGAAGGCGGCCUUCUGGACUGACACUGACGCUGAGGUGCGAAAGCGUGGGUAGCAAACAGGAUUAGAUACCCCGGUAGUC
rnacentral:rRNA from 1 species